AGCCCCGUAGUACAGUGGUCAAGUAUGCGGCGUUCUGGGCGCUGGGACCCAGGUUCGAAUCCUGGCGGGGCUA
rnacentral:tRNA from 1 species